rnacentral:tRNA from 1 species
UCCCUGGUGGUCCAGAGGCUAAGACUCCCAAAGCAGAAGCCCAGGUUCAACCCCUGGUCAGGGAA